GACCCGUCUUGAACCACGGAGUCUAACAUGUGCGCGAGUCAUUGGGUACUCUGAAGCCUAAAGGCGCAAUGAAAGUGAAGGUCGGCCUYGCGCCGACCGAGGGAGGAUGGGYCGCGUCACGAUGGCACUCCCGGGGCGUCUCGUUCUCAUUGCGAGAAGAGGCGCACCCAGAGCGUACACGUUGGGACCCGAAAGAUGGUGAACUAUGCCUGGUCAGGACGAAGUCAGGGGAAACCCUGAUGGAGGUCCGUAGCGAUUCUGACGUGCAAAUCGAUCGUCGGAACUGGGUAUAGGGGCGAAAGACUAAUCGAACCAUCUAGUAGCUGGUUCCUUCCGA
rnacentral:rRNA from 1 species